rnacentral:rRNA from 1 species
GAUCAUGGCUCAGGAUGAACGCAGCGACAGGCUUAACACAUGCAAGUCGAGGGGCAUCACGGGAGUAGCAAUACAACUGGUGGCGACCGGCGCGACGGGUGAGUAACGCGUAUGCAACCUACCUAUCAGAGGGGAAUAACCCGGCGAAAGUCGGACUAAUACCGCAUAAAACAGGGGCACCGCAUGGUGAUAUUUGUUAAAGAAAUUCGCUGAUAGAUGGGCAUGCGUUCCAUUAGGUAGUUGGUGAGGUAACGGCUCACCAAGCCGACGAUGGAUAGGGGAACUGAGAGGUUGGUCCCCCACACUGGUACUGAGACACGGACCAGACUCCUACGGGAGGCAGCAGUGAGGAAUAUUGGUCAAUGGGCGGGAGCCUGAACCAGCCAAGUCGCGUGAAGGAAGAAGGAUCUAUGGUUCGUAAACUUCUUUUGCAGGGGAAUAAAGUGCAGGACGUGUCCUGUUUUGUAUGUACCCUGAGAAUAAGGAUCGGCUAACUCCGUGCCAGCCGCCGC